UCUCAAAAAUCAAAUAGCUACUUUGCAUGACUACACAUUCUAUGCUCAACUUCCUGUUCACUUGUGGUCAAGGUCACUCUAAUCUGAGGAUUGUGUCAUGUGGCACAGCUGAAGCGCUCACCAAAGAGGACACCCUUCUUGUAGGCCUGGGGAUGAGGGGUCAGGCAAAUCACCCACAUCUGUGAAGAUUUCAUGUUUUGUUAUUUUUGUAAUAUUAAUUUUUGUUACAUUUAUAAUGUUAUAUCUAUUGUCAAGGAAAAAAUAUUUAGAUGUGUUCCAUGUCUGAAUAUGGGUGCAAAAAUAAAGCUUGAUUUACCGUCA